AACCCAUGGUAAGGGCACCUUCUCAAUAGAUCCUUGUAUCUCUCCCAUGCAUCAUAAAGUGUUUCUAAAUCCAUCUGCACAAAAGAAAAAAAAUAUCAUUCCUUAGUUU
rfam:Gossypium arboreum cultivar AKA8401 contig_13631_5, whole genome shotgun sequence.